rnacentral:rRNA from 1 species
AGAGUUUGAUCCUGGCUCAGAUUGAACGCUGGCGGCGUGCCUAACACAUGCAAGUCGAGCGGCAGCGCGGGAGCAAUCCUGGCGGCGAGCGGCGGACGGGUGAGUAACGCUUGGGAAUCUGCCUGUUAGUGGGGGACAACCCGGGGAAACUCGGGCUAAUACCGCAUACGCACUACGGUGGAAAGCCGGGGACCGCAAGGCCUGGCGCUAACAGAUGAGCCCAAGUCGGAUUAGCUAGUUGGUAGGGUAACGGCCUACCAAGGCUACGAUCCGUAACUGGUCUGAGAGGACGACCAGUCACACCGGAACUGAGACACGGUCCGGACUCCUACGGGAGGCAGCAGUGGGGAAUAUUGGACAAUGGGCGAAAGCCUGAUCCAGCGACGCCGCGUGGGUGAAGAAGGCCUGCGGGUUGUAAAGCCCUUUCGGUGGGGAAGAAAAGCCUCGAGCUAAUACCUCGGGGUCUUGACGUAACCCAUAGAAGAAGCACCGGCUAACUCUGUGCCAGCAGCCGCGGUAAUACAGAGGGUGCAAGCGUUAUCCGGAAUUACUGGGCUUAAAGGGUUUGUAGGCGGCCAUGUAAGUCAGGUGUGAAAUCCCUCGGCUCAACCGAGGAAGUGCGCUUGAUACUGCAUGGCUUGAGGGAGACAGGGGUAAGCGGAACUGAUGGUGGAGCGGUGAAAUGCGUUGAUAUCAUCAGGAACACCGGUGGCGAAAGCGGCUUACUGGGUCUCUUCUGACGCUGAGGAACGAAAGCUAGGGUAGCGAACGGGAUUAGAUACCCCGGUAGUCCUAGCUGUAAACGAUGAGCACUUAUCUGGGGACCCUCCCAUAGGUUCCCGGAUGUAGCGAAAGUGUUAAGUGCUCCGCCUGGGGAGUAUGGUCGCAAGGCUGAAACUUAAAGGAAUUGACGG